rnacentral:rRNA from 1 species
GUCCACGCAGUAAACGAUGAUAACUCGUUGUCGGCGAUACACAGUCGGUGACUAAGCGAAAGCGAUAAGUUAUCCACCUGGGGAGUACGUUCGCAAGAAUGAAACUCAAAGGAAUUGACGGGGGCCCGCACAAGCGGAGGAACAUGUGGUUUAAUUCGAUGAUACGCGAGGAACCUUACCCGGGCUUGAAAGUUAGUGACGGAUGCCGAAAAGGUGUCUUCCCUUCGGGGCACGAAACUAGGUGCUGCAUGGUUGUCGU